GACGAACGCUGGCGGCGUGCUUAACACAUGCAAGUCGAACGGAAAGGCCCUGCUUUUGCGGGGUGCUCGAGUGGCGAACGGGUGAGUAACACGUGAGUAACCUGCCCUUGACUUUGGGAUAACUUCAGGAAACUGGGGCUAAUACCGGAUAGGAGCUCCUGCUGCAUGGUGGGGGUUGGAAAGUUUCGGCGGUUGGGGAUGGACUCGCGGCUUAUCAGCUUGUUGGUGGGGUAGUGGCUUACCAAGGCUUUGACGGGUAGCCGGCCUGAGAGGGUGACCGGCCACAUGGGGACUGAGAUACGGCCCAGACUCCUACGGGAGGCAGCAGUGGGGAAUAUUGCACAAUGGGCGGAAGCCUGAUGCAGCAACGCCGCGUGCGGGAUGACGGCCUUCGGGUUGUAAACCGCUUUCGCCUGUGACGAAGCGUGAGUGACGGUAAUGGGUAAAGAAGCACCGGCUAACUACGUG
rnacentral:rRNA from 1 species